rnacentral:rRNA from 1 species
CCUGCCAGUAGUCAUAUGCUUCGUUCAAGGACUAAGCCAUGCAUGUCUCAGCGCAAACGAUUUCCAUAGUGGGUCUGUGAAUGGCUCCUUACAACAGCAAUCAUCUCCGUGAUAGCGUGUGGCUGGUGCCAGUGCCAUGGGGCACCCUUGGGAUAUCCUCUGAAACCCAGUGGCUAAUACCCGUUCGCCAAGGUCUGCCGCACACAGUGUGUCAGCAGUUCUCUGCCCUCGCAGGUGGUGGAUUGCACCCAGCUGCCGCUAAGACCAGCGCCUGGGAAAAGGCAGUGUGUUGGUUGACUCAGGCUGGUCCCCCUGGGACAUCUGUGCUGGCAUUUCAGUCCGUGGAAGCCCACGCUAUGCUUGAUCACACGAACUUCUGACCUAUCAGCUUUGACUGUGGUGUAGUGGACCACAGUGGCAGUAACGGGUGACGGAGAAUUUGGGUUCGAUUCCGGAGAGGGAGCCUGAGAAACGGCUACCACUGCCAAGGCGGGCAGCAGGCGCGCAAAUUGCCCAAUACAGAAACCUGUCUGUGAGGCAGCGACGAACUGCAGCAAUUCUGCUGGCAUUACAGCUGGUGGAACUUGGAAUGGAUGCUAUCCAAACACAGUGAUGAGUACCAACUGGAGGGCAAGUCUGGUGCCAGCAGCUGCGGUAAUUCCAGCUCCAAGGGCGUAUACUGACAUUGCUGCUGUUGAAACGCUUGUAGUCUGCCCCUGGGGCCAGGUCUGCUGGAUGGCCGACCCGCACGCGUGCCUUGUGUGCGCUGUGUGGGUUGGAACUCAACCUCUGGCAGUAUGUUCCUGGUCCCAUCUCUCAUGAUGGUGCGAUUUGCUCCUGCAUUGAAGUCCCCUUCACUGGGGAUCGAGGCGGCUGCUCACAGAAUGCUUGAUUGUGACACCCAUGGGGUGCGGCCAGUGCCGUACAGCGACCCAGUCACGCAAUCGGAGCCCACCAUCGUUGACACCGUGGAAAACUCAGUGUGCUCAAAGCAACCAGACUUGGCUGAAUGUCCAUCCAUGGAAUGUCAGUGCAUCGACCGCAUGUGGCCAUUGAGAGUUGUGCUGGGCCUUGGAGCCCAUUUCGGGGAACCUGGUGCCAGUCCCCUGGCCUGUCCUGCGGGGGUGGGCCUUCGCCCCUCGGGGUGAUUCCCCUCCCAGGCAGUCAGUGUGGCUGGUACCCACCGAAGAUGAUGGGAUCAAUCAGGGUGAAAGAUACUGCAACGCCAGAGGUGAAAUUCUUAGACCGCUGCAUGAUCAACUGCAGCGAAGGCGUUCUGCAAGUCUGUGUCCGUCGAUCAAGAACGAAAGCUUGGGGAGCGAAGAUGAUCAGACACCGUCGUAGUCCAACGCUGUAAACCAUGCCAGCUCAGUGUUGAUGGAGCAAGUUCACGGACUCCACCAGCGCUAUGCCCCCUGCAACGAGAAAUCCAAGCCUUUGGGUUCAGGGGGGAGUACUGUCGCAAGGCUGAAACUUAAAGGAAUUGACGGAAUGGCACCACAAGGCGUGGAGUAUGCGGCUUAAUUUGACUCAACACGGGGAAGCUUACCAGGUCAGGACGUUGCUUGGAUGGACAGAUUGAGAGCUCUUUCUUGAUCCUUCGGAUGGUGGUGCAUGGCCGCUCCUGAUUGGUGGAGUGAUUUGUCUGGUUGAUUCCGAUAACGAGUGAGACAUCUGCCUCCCACUAGCCCCACGCUCGAAUCUGUAGGGCUUGGUCGCGGUGGAUCCCCCUCCGUGAGGUGCUCGGGGUCAAACCCGUUCGCCUUCGGGGUGUGGGCCCCGCAAUGCCACCCGAGAGUCGUGGGCCACAAGCUUCUCUGAGGUGCUGUGCACGCUGCCAAGUGCAUGCAUGCUAGAGCCAACAGCAGGUCUGUGAUGCUCCCAGAUGUCCUGGGCCGCACGCGCACUACAUUGUUGCAGUGAAUGUGUUCUGCUCCCUCGCUUGGAGCCCUGCCCAGAAGUGGGUGGGAAACCCUGAAAGACUGCACCGUACUGGGGAUAGAUGCUUGCAACUGUCUGCCUUGAACGAGGAAUGCCUAGUAGGCGCGGGUCAUCAGCCCGCACCGAUUGUGUCCCUGCCAUUUGUACACACCGCCCGUCGUUGCUACCGAUGGCAGCAGGAUAGAGCCAUCAGGAGGCCUCUGGGCACCUCGCGUGACCCCAGCCAAAAUUGGGCAAUGUCCUGCUGCUAGAGGAAGCAAAAGUCGUAACAAGGUUGUGUAAGGUGA